UCUCCGUAGGUGAACCUGCGGAGGGAUCAUUACUGAGUGAGGGCCCUCGUGGUCCGACCUCCAACCCAUUGUUGUCCGACUCUGUUGCCUCGGGGGUGACCCGCGCGUCUUCGGCGCCGGGGCCCCCGGUGGACCAACCCACAACACUGCAUCUUUGCGUCGGAUAUCAAUGAAAAUGAAUUAAAACUUUCAACAACGGAUCUCUUGGUUCUGGCAUCGAUGAAGAACGCAGC
rnacentral:misc_RNA from 1 species